UCACAGUACGGACAUUGCAAUUUAUUUGCCGUGGCCACAUCUGCAGUCCUCAUGCCUCCUUGCAGCAUGCCUAAGGCACGUUCACGCAGAUGAGCAGGGACUCUGGGCAUCUUUCCUUUGGUGUUUUGCAGAGUCAGUGGAAAUGACUCUUUAGUGUCCUAAGCUUUCUGUGACCUUAAUUGCCUACCGUCUGUAAGCUGUUCGUGUCUUAACGACCGUUCCACAGGUGCAUAUUCAUUAAUUGUUUAUAGUUCAUUGAACAAGCAUGGGAAACAGUGUUUAAACCCUUUACAACGAAGAUCUGUGAAGUUAUUUGAAUUUUUCGAAUUAUCUUUGAAAUACUGGGUCCUGAAAGAGAGGCGUUUCUUUUUUUGCUGAGUUUAUGUUGUUGCUUUGGGUGAGCUGUGACACGAAUGGGGCUCAUUUCUGUAGCAUAAGAGCGAGCUGGAUCUUCAGAAUCUGUUUCAGAGUGCUUCUUUUUCUUUAUUCUCACGGAAAGUCACCAGUUGAAGUAUCCUGGGGUAAAGAAUGCGUUUGGCUGUUUCAGUACUUGGUGUCCAUAAGAGUAUCCCUCCUUCCGUACGCAGUGUGCAGCGUUCAUACGCUGAAGCUUCGGGAUCGUGCUCUCCCUCACUCCCUCUGCGUUGAUGUGCGAAUCAAUCACAUCCCUUUUGUCUUCAUCAUCAUCACCUGAUUCAAAACUGCCUAUAGGAGGGGGAAAUAGUGGAUAAUUGCCUUUUGGAGAAAUCUUUCUAUUAUGGGGUUGGUAUUUUCUAGUAUAGCUAAACCAUCCAUUCCAUUUGACUUUUUAUUCCAGGCCUCCGUUGCACUUACUCUCUCUUUGUAUCCUGUAGGCUUACGGUGUCCGGCUUGCCUUCACCAUAGACUGUAGGGAACCAGAUUCAUCCUUUCUUAAAAUGUUUCAAUACCAUAUCAAGAAGAGCAUGUAACUCUCAAUUCCAUAAAGUAACAAUAAUGUAAGGACACAUUAGGAAGAACUCAAUAUUAUUCUCAUACCAAUGCUGCAUUUUUAACUAGGGUGCCUGAAAUCAUAACAUUUCCAAGAUCCGAUAUUAUACAUUUUGUCAUGUUUCUAGUCAUCUUCCUAGCUUUGCUAAUAUACUAUAGACAAUAUUGUUUUACAGGAUCUUCCUCUUCUUUGCUUGGAUGCUCUCCAUCGCAACAAAAUCAACUCUUUGCCAACUGGACUCCAGUGGUCAUCAGCCUCUAAAAACACAAAGAGUAAAACAUUGACCUGGUGUUUAGCUUUAAGUGGCAAUACAGAAUUGAGGAGAAAACCCAUGAAAACUAUAGAAAUAACUACAGUGGCUAGUAGAAUAGUGGUGAUAUAAAUACAUUGGUUAAAUCAUUGUAGGCUAAUUGUAAACAGCCAGGAGUUGAUGACUGGUCUCACUGGGAUCAAGGUGAUUUCUGACCGAGUGUUUGUGCGCUACUGACCCCUUUCCAUGUCCUUGCGCAUUACGCUUCUCCAUGAUUUGUAUGAUAAAGUGCGCGGUUUGUGAAAAGGAACUGAAGUCGACGUUGUGGCCGGCGAAAAGACUGACAUCUUGUUAUAACAACUUUCUAAACUAAUCACAGACAAACAGCAUUUGUCUACGAGUCAGUUGAUGUUGUUAUAGGGUUUCUAUGGUCAGAACCAUAACAGUUGUGACAAGAGGCUCCAACCUAAUCUAAACGAAGAAGCCUUCCGCACUGCAAGACUGCGCGACAGUAUUACGUCAACCGCGUUUCAAAAUGGUUAGCCAACGCAGUUGUUUUUGAAAAUCAUCCACCAUGGACCAGAGACGUACACCACGGUCUGAAAAUGGUUAUUCGAAUAAUAAUUCAUCCAUAGAAAUUAAAUUAUAACUAACAGUACAUUUAGGUUACUAUGCAUAUGAUAUGUCUGAGGGUCUCUCAGCAUUUUUGAAUCGAGGAUACAGAGAUACAGAGGUGCGAGAUAAAGAUGAUUAUCCGCCAUUUAUUUCAACAAAACCUUGGAUCUAAACAACAUCUAAACACAAUUGUUGUCAAGAGAUACAAUGUAAUACUGUUCUAUUUAAUUCUGUGGAUUGACCUACACAUAACAAUAUCAUAAUGGAACAUGAAAUGGUCAUCUUUUCAAAGUCUAAACAUUAAACCUAAAAUUGCUAAAUAUGCAAAUAAAUUGUAAACGACACUAAAGUGAAAACAAGCAUUUACACUCCCCAGGUAACAUUCCCCAGGUAACACUCCCCAGGUAACAUUCCCCAGGUAACAUUCCCCAGGUAACACUCCCCAGGUAACACUCCCCAGGUAACACUCCCCAGGUAACACUCCCCAGGUAACAUUCCCCAGGUAACACUCCCCAGGUAACACUCCCCAGGUAACACUCCCCAGGUAACACUCCCCAGGUAACAUUCCCCAGGUAACAUUCCCCAGGUAACACUCCCCAGGUAACACUCCCCAGGUAACAUUCCCCAGGUAACACUCCCCAGGUAACACUCCCCAGGUAACACUCCCCAGGUAACACUCCCCAGGUAACACUCCCCAGGUAACACUCCCCAGGUAACAUUCCCCAGGUAACAUUCCCCAGGUAACACUCCCCAGGUAACACUCCCCAGGUAACACUCCCCAAAAUACCCUAAAUAGAUAAAACAUGUCAUUUUGAUCCAAUCAAUUUCAUUCAGUUUCCCAUUGAUUUGUAUGCUUUUGAACAGUAAAUGGUUAGAAAGUGCAC